rnacentral:rRNA from 1 species
GAUGAACGCUGGCGGCGUGCCUAAUACAUGCAAGUCGAGCGAACAGACGAGGAGCUUGCUCCUCUGACGUUAGCGGCGGACGGGUGAGUAACACGUGGAUAACCUACCUAUAAGACUGGGAUAACUUCGGGAAACCGGAGCUAAUACCGGAUAAUAUAUUGAACCGCAUGGUUCAAUAGUGAAAGACGGUUUUGCUGUCACUUAUAGAUGGAUCCGCGCCGCAUUAGCUAGUUGGUAAGGUAACGGCUUACCAAGGCAACGAUGCGUAGCCGACCUGAGAGGGUGAUCAGCCACACUAGAACUGGGACACGCUCCAGACUCCUACGGGGGGCAGCAGUAGGGAAUCUUCCGCAAUGGGCGAAAGCCUGACGGAGCAACGCAGCGUGAGUGAUGAAGGUCUUCGGAUCGUAAAACUCUGUUAUUAGGGAAGAACAAAUGUGUAAGUAACUAUGUACGUCUUGACGGUACCUAAUCAGAAAGCCACGGCUAACUACGUG